CCUACGGGAGGCAGCAGUGAGGAAUAUUGGUCAAUGGGCGCAAGUCUGAACCAGCCAUGCCGCGUGCAGGAAGACGGCUCUAUGAGUUGUAAACUGCUUUUGUACGAGGGUAAACGCAGAUACGCGUAUCUGUCUGAAAGUAUCGUACGAAUAAGGAUCGGCUAACUCCGUGCCAGCAGCCGCGGUAAUACGGAGGAUUCAAGCAUUAUCCGGAUUUAUUGGGUUUAAAGGGUGCGUAGGCGGUCGGAUAAGUUAGAGGUGAAAUCCCGAGGCUCAACUUCGGAAUUGCCUCUGAUACUGUUCGUCUAGAGAGUAGUUGCGAUAGGCGGAAUGUAUGGUGUAGCGGUGAAAUGCUUAGAGAUCAUACAGAACACCGAUUGCGAAGGCAGCUUACCAAGCUACUUCUGACGUUGAGGCACGAAAGCGUGGGGAGCAAACAGGAUUAGAUACCCGAGUAGUC
rnacentral:rRNA from 1 species